CAUUACUGACACUGAGGAGCGAAAGCGUGGGGAGCGAACAGGAUUAGAUACCCUGGUAGUCCACGCCGUAAACGGUGGGCACUAGUUGUGGGGACCUUCCACGGUCUCUGCGACGCAGCUAACGCAUUAAGUGCCCCGCCUGGGGAGUACGAUCGCAAGAUUAAAACUCAAAGGAAUUGACGGGGCCCCGCACAAGCAGCGGAGCAUGCGGCUUAAUUCGACGCAACGCGAAGAACCUUACCAAGGCUUGACAUAUACAGGAAUAUGGCAGAGAUGUCAUAGCCGCAAGGUCUGUAUACAGGUGGUGCAUGGUUGUCGUCAGCUCGUGUCGUGAGAUGUUGGGUUAAGUCCCGCAACGAGCGCAACCCUCGUUCUGUGUUGCCAGCAUUUAGUUGGGGACUCACAGGAGACUGCCGGGGUUAACUCGGAGGAAGGUGGGGAUGACGUCAAAUCAUCAUGCCCCUUAUGUCUUGGGCUGCACGCAUGCUACAAUGGCUGGUACAAACGGCUGCAAUACCGCAAGGUGGAGCGAAUCCGAGAAAGCCAGUCUCAGUUCGGAUUGGGGUCUGCAACUCGACCCCAUGAAGUCGGAGUUGCUAGUAAUCGUAGAUCAGCAACGCUACGGUGAAUACGUUCCCGGGGCUUGUACACACCGCCCGUCACGUCACGAAAGUCGGUA
rnacentral:rRNA from 1 species